UACAGAGACUGCAAGCGUUAUUCGGAUUCCCUGGGCGUAAAGGGUGCGCAGGCGGCCGUGUGUGUCAGGUGUGAAAGCCCGGAGCUUAACUCCGGAAUUGCGCCUGAAACUACAUGGCUAGAGCAUUGGAGAGGGUAGCGGAAUUCACGGUGUAGCAGUGAAAUGCGUAGAUAUCGUGAGGAACACCAGAGGCGAAGGCGGCUACCUGGACAAUUGCUGACGCUCAGGCACGAAAGCGUGGGGAGCAAAAGGG
rnacentral:rRNA from 1 species